rnacentral:tRNA from 1 species
GCGACACUAGCUCAGUUGGUAGAGCGCAACCUUGCCAAGGUUGAGGUUACGCCUAGUUCUUCAAAAGAUCAGGAACCUCGUGUGUCGCUCCA